GUUCUAAUAAUUCUAGUCACUUUACACUCUCAUUCUGAUUCUGGUCUCACUGAAAAUCACGCCAAGAAAUGGACUGAGACCAAAUCAAAUCAAAUCAAACUGUGAUGAGUUAGCAUCUGUUAGUAAUUAACUUACACAAUCAACUCCCCUCCUGCAUCUGCUUGUUUCUGGCUGUUGUGACCUUGUAUAACCCUCGAUGUUCUUCCACUCUGUGCUCCACACUUGUGUAGUUUCUAACAAUUCUUUUAUAUAGCUCUUAAUAUUCUUCCACUCUGUGCUCUGCACUUGUAUAGUCUCUAACAAUUCUUCUGUGUAGCUUCUUAUGUUCUUUCACUCUGUGUUUCACACUUAUAUAGUCUCUAAUAAUUCUUCUGUGUAGCUUCUUAUGUUCUCUCACUCUGUGUUCUAUGCUUGUGUAGCUUCUAAUGAUUCUUACAUGUAUCUCUUAAUGUUCUUUCACUUCACACUCCACUGUGAAGUGGCUUCUGAUAUUCUUUCACUCUGAACUUUUCUCUAUA
rnacentral:sRNA from 1 species